rnacentral:rRNA from 1 species
CGUACUGGCAUUGUUGGUUUCUCCCUUCUGACGAACCAUGAUGUCAUUUAUUUGGUGUUGUGGGGAAUCAGGACUGUUACUUUGAAAAAAUUAGAGUGUUUAAAGCAGGCUCACGCUUGAAUACAUUAGCAUGGAAUAAUGAGAUAGGACGUUUGAUUCUAUUUUGUUGGUUUCUAGGAUCGACGUAAUGAUUAAUAGGGAUAGUUGGGGGCAUUAGUAUUCAAUUGUCAGAGGUGAAAUUCUUGGAUUUAUUGAAGACUAACUACUGCGAAAGCAUUUGCCAGGGAUGUUUUCAUUAAUCAAGAACGAAAGUUAGGGGAUCGAAGACGAUCAGAUACCGUCGUAGUCUUAACCAUAAACUAUGCCGACUAGGGAUCGGAUGAUGUUAAUUUUUUAAUGACUCAUUCGGUGCCUUACG